AUUGAACGCUGGCGACAUGCCUUACACAUGCAAGUCGAACGGCAGCACGGGUGCUUGCACCUGGUGGCGAGUGGCGAACGGGUGAGUAAUACAUCGGAACACGUCCUGUAGUGGGGGAUAGCCCGGCGAAAGCCGGAUUAAUACCGCAUACGAUCUACGGAUGAAAGCGGGUGACCUUCGGGCCUCGCGCUGUAGGGUUGGCCGAUGGCUGAUUAGCUAGUUGGUGGGGUAAAGGCCUACCAAGGCGACGAUCAGUAGCUGGUCUGAGAGGACGACCAGUCACACUGGGACUGAAACACGGCCCAGACUCCUACGGGAGGCAGCAGUGGGGAAUUUUGGACAAUGGGCGAAAGCCUGAUCCAGCAAUGCCGCGUGUGUGAAGAAGGCCUUCGGGUUGUAAAGCACUUUUGUCCGGAAAGAAAUCCUUGGCCCUAAUACGGUCGGGGGAUGACGGUACCGGAAGAAUAAGCACCGGCUAACUACGUG
rnacentral:rRNA from 1 species